rnacentral:rRNA from 1 species
UGAAUGGAGGAGAGGACAGCGGCGGACGGGUGAGUAACGCGUAGGCAACCUGCCCUUAGCAGAGGGAUAGCCAUUGGAAACGAUGAUUAAAACCUCAUAACGCUCUGUGGACACAUGUACACGGAGCCAAAGAUUUAUCGGCUGAGGAUGGGCCUGCGUCUGAUUAACUAAUUGGUGAGGUAACGGCUCACCAAGGUGACGAUCAGUAGCCGACCUGAGAGGGUGAUCGGCCACAUUGGAACUGAGACACGGUCCAAACUUCUACGGAAGGCAGCAGUAGGGAAUUUUGCACAAUGGGGGAAACCCUGAUGCAGCAACGCCGCGUGAAGGAUGAAGGCCUUCGCGUUGUAAACUUCCUUUUCUCGGGGAAGAAGACAGUGACGGUACCUGAGGAAAAAGCCCCGGCCUAACUACGUGCCAGCAGCCGCGGUAAUACGUAGGGGGCAAGCGUUAUCCGGAAUUAUUGGGCGUAAAGAGUGCGUACGUGGUUUCUUAAGCGCAGGGUUUAAUCUACCGGCUCA